AUGGUGACCCAAACCCUCACCAGAGUAGCAAUUGGAGGGCAAGUCUGGUGCCAGCAGCCGCGGUAAUUCCAGCUCCAAUAGCGUAUAUUAAACUUGUUGCAGUUAAAAAGCUCGUAGUUGUAUUUUUGCGUUAGCGGUUUGACCAUUUGGUUGGUUAUUUCGUUUUCGCUUUUGGGAAUUUCCCUUUUUACUUUGAGAAAAUUAGAGUGUUUCAAGCAGACUUUUGUCUUGAAUACUUCAGCAUGGAAUAAUAGAGUAGGACUUUGGUUCUAUUUUGUUGGUUAUUGAACCUUAGUAAUGGUUAAUAGGAACGGUUGGGGGCAUUCGUAUUUAACUGUCAGAGGUGAAAUUCUUAGAUUUGUUAAAGACGAACUACUGCGAAAGCAUUUGCCAAGGACGUUUCCAUUAAUCAAGAACGAAAGUUAGGGGAUCGAAGACGAUCAGAUACCGUCGUAGUCCUAACCAUAAACUAUGCCGACUAGUGAUUGGAG
rnacentral:rRNA from 1 species